GGAGGCUACUGAUUCUGGCUCUGUGACACUUGGUGGUGACGUGUGAGCUGAUUCACCUGGACACUCAGCAAAAUAUGGACUCUACACCAUGAGGCAGGCACACGUUAAUACUUAUAAGAGCACAUAAGCCUGGCUGAUCACCUGAUAACUCCUGUCAUCUGGUUGUGACAGCAUGAGGAUGUCCUCACACACCUGUAACCUAUCAGCUCAUCUGGCAGAAUAGAGAGAGAAGAGACAGCACCACAUCUCCUGUUCCUGGAAAGCCUUCUGCCAUCCUUCGAUGACUGAGAGCCUCCAUCAGCUCUGUCUCCUGUCUGCCCACAAUUAUUAUAAUAAAUAUUGUGUUUGACAAGUUUUUUGUGCUGCCAAAUAUCUCGUUUUGAUUCCAGUUUUGAUAUUUUAAUGGAUAUUUAUAAAUUACAUUAAUUAAAUUAUCACAUUGUCGCAUGUUUAACUAGCUCUAUUGUGAUGAAUUAAACUAGCACCUCACUGUUAAAAGCUUGUUUUAAUUUCAAGCAUGUUUAAGUAUUUAUGGACAUGAACAAAAAUAGGAAAUAUGUCAAUUGAGAUUUAUUUAAUUAAUAUAAGAAAUAAGGGGGAAAGAGUCAUUGAAAGGCACAUUCUUCUGGAAGCUCCUGAUCCUGACGACACCAGCAGAGAUCACCUGCAGACACCAGAGGACCUAGAACCGAGAGCAGCGGUUAUUAGUAAAUAAAGAAAUCAGGGCAGUUUUAGUGGGCUGAACACAU